CGACCCUGCAGAUUACAUGAUCUACAUCAGUGGGUAUGAUACGUUCAGGGAACUUUCAUCACUUGGUCAGAGUACAAAAUUCUACUACCUUGGUAAUGCUGACAAGUACGUCAUCAAAACAAUGAAGAAACCAGAAGUUGAGUAUUGCUUCGGGUCAACGGCCGAUAUGGAGUUGGGAUCAUAUUGCAUGGAUUUGUAAGCAUGCUCAAGCUUCUUACUAAUAUCAUAAUCUUGUAGUAUGUCAAUGAUUCCAAAGAACAACACGACAUCUUGGAAUUCCCCUGUGGGCUCACCAAGGAACGGAGAUUCACUAUCAGGAUUCUUCGCAACGUUCUCCACCCUUGAGGGCAUGCAAAUUCCUAAUUUUAAUGGUGUUUUCCUGCUUAAAUCACAAGUAGUAUAUAGGUUAGUCCUCAGAGGUCAAUGUCAGAGUGAAUGCAAUGGUUAAAGUCGAUGUAGUAAGCAAGCUAUGCUGAAACAGAGACAAACUGUCAUGUUCUGCAUCUGGUGAAAUUAAGGCUUCUCAGUUGGAGAUUGAAAGCACCGGUGUGAUAUGUUAGAUACUUCUUAUCUCUUCACCAUAAACAAUAUAUAUUGUGUAUGCUAAUAUAAGGUGAAAAUUAAUCUCAUCAUAAUUUUGUUCA